rnacentral:rRNA from 1 species
AGGGUUUGAUCCUGGCUCAGAGUGAACGUUGGCGGCGUGGUUUAGGCAUGCAAGUCGAAAGCGAAUGAAAAGCUUGCUUUUCUAUUAGCUUGGCGAACGGGUGAGUACAAGCUUGAUAAUCUACCCUUGUGUGGGGGAUAAUGCCUGGAAACGGGUGACAAUACCGCAUAAUACAACCGUACGCAUGUACGGUGGUCAAAGAUCGUAAUGUCGCAUAAGGAUUAGUCAAGCUCCUAUCAGGUUGUUGGUGUGGUAAAGGCGCACCAAGCCUAAGACGGGUAUGGGGACUGAGAGGUUGGCCCCACACACCGGAACUGAGACACUGUCCGGACACCUACGGGUGGCUGCAGUCGAGAAUCUUCGGCAAUGGACGAAAGUCUGACCGAGCGACGCCGCGUGCGGGAAGAAGGCCCUCGGGUUGUAAACCGCUGUUAGGAGGUAGCAAUAAGCGGUAGAAUAUGCCGUGAUGAGUUAAACUCCAGAGAAAGUCACAGCUAAUUACGUGCCAGCAGCUGCGGUAAUACGUAAGUGGCGAACGUUACUCGGAAUCACUGGGCUUAAAGGGGGUGUAGGCGGACAGGUAAGUCAUUGUUGAAAUCCCUCGGCUUAACCGAGGAAUUGGCACUGAAACUAUUUGUCUUGAGGAUAGCAGGGGGGUGUGGAACUUCUGGUGGAGCGGUGAAAUGCGUAGAUAUCAGAAGGAACACCGGUGGCGAAGGCGAUGCCCUGGGCUAUUUACUGACGCUGAGGCCCGAAAGCGUGGGGAGCAAACAGGAUUAGAUACCCUGGUAGUCCACGCUGUAAACGAUGAGCACUAGCAGGAGGGGUUAUAUCGGUCUCUCUUGCGUAGCGAAAGCAUUAAGUGCUCCGCCUGGGGAGUACGGCCGCAAGGUUAAAACUCAAAGGAAUUGACGGGGGCUCACACAAGCGGUGGAGCAUGUGGUUUAAUUCGAAACAACGCGCAGAACCUUACCCGGGUUUGACAUGUACGGAUGCUGCUCUCGAAAGGGAUGUCAGCUGCUUCGGUGAAACGUAUACAGGUGUUGCAUGGCUGUCGUCAGCUCGUGCCGUGAGGUGUCAGGUUAAGUCCUUUAACGAGCGAAACCCCUACCGUUAGUUGCCAGCAUUAAGUUGGGGACUCUAGCGGGACUGCCGCGUAAGUUGCGAGGAAGGUGGGGACGACGUCAAGUCAUCAUGGCCUUUAUAUCCGGGGCUACACACGUGCUACAAUGGCUGGUACAAACUGAAGCUAACCCGCGAGGGGGCGCAAAUCGGAAAAAGCCAGCCCCAGUUCAGAUUGUAGGCUGCAAUUCGCCUACAUGAAGUUGGAAUCGCUAGUAAUCGCGGAUCAGCUACGCCGCGGUGAAUAUGUUCCUGAGCCUUGUACACACCGCCCGUCAAGCCAUGAAAGCCGGGGGCGCCCGAAGUCGUGAGUCUAACCUUAGGGAGGACCACGCCGACGGUGAAACCGGUGAUUGGGACUAAGUCGGAACAAGGUA